UACGUAGGGGGCAAGCGUUGUCCGGAUUUAUUGGGCGUAAAGAGCGUGUAGGCGGCCAUACAGGUCAGCUGUGAAAACUCGAGGCUCAACCUCGAGACGCCGAUGGAAACCAUCUGACUAGAGUCCGGAAGAGGAGAGUGGAAUUCCUGGUGUAGCGGUGAAAUGCGCAGAUAUCAGGAAGAACACCCGUGGCUAAGGCGGCUCUCUAGUACGGUACUGACGCUGAGACGCGAAAGCGUGGGGAGCGAACAGG
rnacentral:rRNA from 1 species